GUCACAUGACGGCCGGUGGAGGAGUCAGCAGGCCAGUCCUCCGUCAGCUGGCCUCCAGCCUGCCCUCUUUUCCCCAUCUCCCAGCCCCUACCGACCCCUCCACACACAAAGAAACGAAAGCCAAGACUGUUAGAGCCACAGAGGACCUCGGAGCAUCCAGUCUGGCUCAGAGAGGGUAGGUGGUGGCCCCAGGAUCACACAGCGGAAUGCGUGCUUGAUCAGUUGUCCCGUCUCCCGCCUCUUCCAUUAAGGGAAAGAACAAGUUAGAAGGACGGAGGAGGUGCCUUUGCUGGAGCCCAGCAGAAGACAUGAACAUUCACACAAAAUGGGAUGAAGCCUACAAAUAACCACAACGAUUCCAGGCAGGUUUGCUGGUAAAGGAGUUCAACGCCAACUUAUGAACUUGAGUUUCGUAACUUUGACCCUCAGGACUGAGUUUGUGCAAUCCCGAACC